ACAGAUUGCUUUUCUGGAAGGUGCUGCAGGAGAAUGGGCAGCGAAAUUCAGGAAAAUUGGCUCUUAAUACAUAUGCCAUUUCAGAAAAGCACUAAUGAGCUCUCUCUUCAUUGAAAAUUAAAUCUGUCAAGGAUAUGAAUCAGAUGUCAUCCGAAAGGAGAGACCAAUCUACUCUUCCACAGCAAUUUCCUGUUAGAACUUCAGGAUGGGAGAUACCAUUUCCUCUGUUCCAGGGUGGGUGAGUUCCUGUUAGAAGGUAAUUUUGAAAUUCUUGUCGUGAGAAAGAACACAGUGAAGAUGACAACCUGUUGCAGGGUCGAUUCACAUCCAAAAAAAAAGGGCAACAUAUAUUUCUGGAUCAUAUAUUCAAGACAAUUUCUCUUUUGGGGGGAAGGUAUUGCCCUAUAACCUUCUAAGGAUGUACGAGGCUCCACUUCUUUGUUCUUGUGUACCCUUUAAUGCUUUUAGGGGUUAACUUAAAAGAAGAAACUUAAUUUCUUUUGGCUUUUCUUUUUCUUUAUGUCCUAGGGAUUGAACUCAGGGGCACCCAACCACUGAUCCAUACCCCCAGCCCUAUUUUGUAUUUCAUUUAGAGACAGGGUCUCACUGAGUUGCUUAGCACCUUGCUUUUGCUGAGGCUGGCUUUGAACUCCUAUCCUCCUGCCUCAGACCUCCUGAGCUGCUGGGAUUACAGGUGUGCGCCACCACACCUGGCUUAAUUUCUAUCUAUCAAGAUAAGGUCUGAUAGGAAAUUUGGCUAUGGUAUCUGAUUUAAAUGAAGCUUGUAAUCUUAUACAUGCUUUAAAUUAUGUGUUCUUCUCUGACAUAACUUGAAUUUUAAAUUGUUAUUACAGUGUAUGGCAAAAGUUUCAACAUUUGGGGAACUGAAAAGAUCUGUUUCCUUACUUGGAAUAGAAUCCUGAGUUUUCUAAGUAUACAAAGAAGAUAGAGACAAAUGAUUUGCAACAAUUUAAUAAACUAUAACCAUAAUUCCAUUGUUGAAGGAGGAAAGGUGAUAGAUAUUCAGGAACUUAUUAUUUAUAGGGUCUUCUGUAUUCUUAUGAUUUGUCUAAAGAUCAUUAUGUUAGAAAUGUAUAAAAAUCACAAGCUGUAUCUCUGUAGCCUGGAACCAAGUCGGUCAAUGAACCUUGACUUUGCUUAAUACCAGUACUGGUCAAUACAAAGGCAAUACCAAAUUCUUCAGUGAGGAUGCCUUUAAGCCAUUAUGCAGUCACAGCUCAGUGACUGGGGAUCUUGACCUAUUUUAAUCCCCCACCUCAUUCAUUAUCCAUAAAGAAACAAGAGCCUAGAGGGAAGUGUGUUCUGCUAUGACUACACAAUUUAGAUCUCAGAAUUCAUUUCCUUUGAGUUUUCUUCAGAAACAAGAACCAAAAUGGAGAGAACAUCUUCAUUCUAACAGACUGGUUUGGUAUAUUACCAAAUAUAUCAGAUGAUAGUACUGGGACUCAGAUGAUAGUACUGGGAUGAACUGUCCUGCAUAAAGACCUCUCCAUGGGCUCCUGGCUUUGGGCAUGCUUUGACCAUUUUUAUUUCCAUUUUGGAUCCCUGCAGACUCUGUUAUUAGGAGGAAGUAAUCAGGUUCUUGGGCAAUUGCAGAGUGGAAUUAUGGGAAAUGGGAGGAGGAUCUCAUCUCAGAGGAUGCUGAACUUGCUCCUUGCCUUGGACCUCAGCCAUAUGCUGAUAACUGAGCACUAAACCUGUCAUCUUAGUUUUAAUACUCUGAUUCUGUUGACACAAUCAUUUGGUAAAAUAACCUCAGGUUUCCUUUCUGAAAAAUGAAUUUAAGGUUGGCAAAACCCUGCUUUUAAGGGAAAAUAGCUUUAAGCCAAUUGCUAAAGGCUGUGACGUAU
rnacentral:lncRNA from 1 species